rnacentral:rRNA from 1 species
CGAGUGAGCGGCAAAGCUCAAAUUUGAAAUCUGGUACCUUCGGUGCCCGAGUUGUAAUUUGGAGAGGGCAACUUUGGGGCCGUUCCUUGUCUAUGUUCCUUGGAACAGGACGUCAUAGAGGGUGAGAAUCCCGUGUGGCGAGGAGUGCGGUUCUUUGUAAAGUGCCUUCGAAGAGUCGAGUUGUUUGGGAAUGCAGCUCUAAGUGGGUGGUAAAUUCCAUCUAAAGCUAAAUAUUGGCGAGAGACCGAUAGCGAACAAGUACAGUGAUGGAAAGAUGAAAAGAACUUUGAAAAGAGAGUGAAAAAGUACGUGAAAUUGUUGAAAGGGAAGGGCAUUUGAUCAGACAUGGUGUUUUGUGCCCUCUGCUCCUUGUGGGUAGGGGAAUCUCGCAUUUCACUGGGCCAGCAUCAGUUUUGGUGGCAGGAUAAAUCCAUAGGAAUGUAGCUUGCCUCGGUAAGUAUUAUA